UACGUAGGGGGCAAGCGUUGUCCGGAAUCAUUGGGCGUAAAGCGCGUGUAGGCGGCUUCGUAAGUCCGUUGUGAAAGUCCAGGGCUCAACCCUGGAAUGCCGAUGGAUACUGCGGAGCUAGAGUCCGGAAGAGGCGAGUGGAAUUCCUGGUGUAGCGGUGAAAUGCGCAGAUAUCAGGAGGAACACCAAUGGCGAAGGCAGCUCGCUGGGACGGUACUGACGCUGAGGUGCGAGAGCGUGGGGAGCGAACCGG
rnacentral:rRNA from 1 species